GACGAACGCUGGCGGCGUGCUUAACACAUGCAAGUCGAACGGAAAGGCCCUGCUUUUGUGGGGUGCUCGAGUGGCGAACGGGUGAGUAACACGUGAGUAACCUGCCCUUGACUUUGGGAUAACUUCAGGAAACUGGGGCUAAUACCGGAUAGGAGCUCCUGCUGCAUGGUGGGGGUUGGAAAGUUUCGGCGGUUGGGGAUGGACUCGCGACUUAUCAGCUUGUUGGUGGGGUAGUGGCUUACCAAGGCUUUGACGGGUAGCCGGCCUGAGAGGGUGACCGGCAACAUUGGGACUGGGAUACGGCCAGACUCCUACGGGAGGCAGCAGUGGGGAAUAUUGCACAAUGGGCGGAAGCCUGAUGCAGCAACGCCGCGUGCGGGAUGACGGCCUUCGGGUUGUAAACCGCUUUCGCCUGUGACGAAGCGUGAGUGACGGUAAUGGGUAAAGAAGCACCGGCUAACUACGUG
rnacentral:rRNA from 1 species